rnacentral:rRNA from 1 species
AUUGAACGCUGGCGGCAUGCUUUACACAUGCAAGUCGAACGGUAACAGGCCGCAAGGUGCUGACGAGUGGCGAACGGGUGAGUAAUGCAUCGGAACGUGCCCAGUCGUGGGGGAUAACUACUCGAAAGAGUAGCUAAUACCGCAUACGAUCUAUGGAUGAAAGCGGGGGACCGUAAGGCCUCGCGCGAUUGGAGCGGCCGAUGUCAGAUUAGGUAGUUGGUGGGGUAAAGGCUCACCAAGCCAACGAUCUGUAGCUGGUCUGAGAGGACGACCAGCCACACUGGGACUGAGACACGGCCCAGACUCCUACGGGAGGCAGCAGUGGGGAAUUUUGGACAAUGGGCGCAAGCCUGAUCCAGCAAUGCCGCGUGCAGGAAGAAGGCCUUCGGGUUGUAAACUGCUUUUGUACGGGACGAAACGGCUCUGGUUAAUACCCGGGGCUAAUGACGGUACCGUAAGAAUAAGCACCGGCUAACUACGU